GUUGUUGUGGCCGAGUGGUUAAGGCGAUGGACUAAAAAUGCAUUGGGGUCUCCCCUCGCAGGUUCAAAUCCUGCUGACAGCA